GUGAGGGACUUUACAGUGUGUUUGAUGGGGAAUGUUUCCUUCUUGCAUUGAUGUACAAUGCACGGUAGCUGAGGCUGUGCUGCAGCCUGUACGAGGAGCAUGCUCACAGCUGGGCUGUGUGGUGUCCCUGACUCCUCCUGGAGCAUGCUACCUAAGGGAGUUCCUCUCAAAAAGCUGAUGAAAAAGGAAAUCCUUGGUCUGGCAAAGCCCAUUUCUCUCCCGAGCAGCGGGGCAUUGUGCAGGAGCUGCACCUCUGAAGGCCAUCUGGUCCCACCCCCUGCGAUAAGCGGGGACACCCACAGAUCCAUCAGGUGCUCAGAGCCCACCCAGUCUGACCUUGGCUGUACCCAUGGAUGGGACGUCCACCACCGCAGCACUCAGCUCUCCAGGAGCAGGCUGACACACGGACCUGGAGGAGAAGGGCAAGUUGUCGUGGCCGGCGCUGGCGCAGCAGUAGAAGCCCUGCAGGGUUUUCACCACCCGUCCUCUCGCUGGGCUGAUGUUUGAUUGCAUCCCACAGCAGCAGACUGGAGGUGAGUCCAAGGUCCCUCCCCAGACCCACAGCCCCCCCGGGCACCAUUCCUGGCAGAUGGAGCCAAGGGUGCUCAGAGCCACACAUGCCCUUAUGUGAGCACCCGGCUCCAGCAAGGUGACCGCCUCCUCCCUGGGGUCUUCUCCUCUGCUUCAGAGUAAAAUAAUUAUAUGAAGCAGGUUCCAUUUUUUCCCCCAUGUACUUUCUUGCUGUAGAAAUUUGUAAAGACCCACAAGAAUUUCAGAGGACGGAGAAAGAAAAUUCUCUAUUACUGGGGAAGGGUAAAAGAGAGAUCCAUCAAAGGAUAUCUCGAG
ensembl:lncRNA